GUAGCUCAGCCGGUAGAGCAGCGGUUUCGUAAACCGCAGGUCGUGGGUUCAAGUCCCACCGCCA
rnacentral:tRNA from 1 species